CUGCUUUUCAACACACUGUUUAGGCACUGCCUGGACAAGCAUACAGAGUUCUACCAAGUGUAGUUCCACCACUGCGAGGAAAUGAACCUGGAAGGGGUCAACAGUACAAUGUAACACAAGAAUCCAUCUUGGCUAAGAGAUGCAUGUGCACACAUGGGAGAACUCUGACAAAAACCAAGUACGGAUUCAGAAGCAAGCAAAGAGAGAUGACCAAAGGCAACCUGGAAGAAAUGCCCCACAUAAGUGAUCCAAACCACCAUGCGGGCACAGCUCUCUCUCUGUGCCCACCUGUGUGUUUAUCCUUUUCCUCC
ensembl:lncRNA